rnacentral:tRNA from 1 species
GCCCGCAUAGUUAAGUGGUAUAACACAAAUCUUGUAAAUUUGAAUUCGUGGUUCGAUUCCAUGUGUAGGCA